rnacentral:rRNA from 1 species
UGAGCAAUCUGCCCCUCUCAUCGGAAUAAGCGUUGGAAACGACGUCUAAUGCCGAAUACGACCUCCUUUCGCAUGAUCGGAGGUGGAAAGCUCCGGCGGAGAAGGAUGAGCUCGCGGCCUAUCAGCUAGUUGGUGUGGGUAAUGGCCCACCAAGGCGACGACGGGUAGCCGGCCUGAGAGGGUGACCGGCCACACUGGGACUGAGACACGGUCCGGACUCCUACGGGAGGNAGCG